rnacentral:rRNA from 1 species
GAUGAACGCUGGCGGCGUGCCUAAUACAUGCAAGUCGAGCGAACGGACGAGAAGCUUGCUUUUCUGAUGUUAGCGGCGGACGGGUGAGUAACACGUGGAUAACCUACCUAUAAGACUGGGAUAACUUCGGGAAACCGGAGCUAAUACCGGAUAAUAUUUUGAGCCGCAUGGUUCAAAAGUGAAAGACGGUCUUGCUGUCACUUAUAGAUGGAUCCGCGCUGCAUUAGCUAGUUGGUAAGGUAACGGCUUACCAAGGCAACGAUGCAUAGCCGACCUGAGAGGGUGAUCGGCCACACUGGAACUGAGACACGGUCCAGACUCCUACGGGAGGCAGCAGUAGGGAAUCUUCCGCAAUGGGCGAAAGCCUGACGGAGCAACGCCGCGUGGGUGAUGAAGGUCUUCGGAUCGUAAAACUCUGUUAUUAGGGAAGAACAUAUGUGUAAGUAACUGUGCACAUCUUGACGGUACCUAAUCAGAAAGCCACGGCUAACUACGUG